rnacentral:rRNA from 1 species
AUUGAACGCUGGCGGCAGGCCUAACACAUGCAAGUCGAGCGGUAGAGAGAAGCUUGCUUCUCUUGAGAGCGGCGGACGGGUGAGUAAUGCCUAGGAAUCUGCCUAGUGGUGGGGGAUAACGUUCGGAAACGGACGCUAAUACCGCAUACGUCCUACGGGAGAAAGCGGGGGAUCUUCGGACCUCGCGCCAUUAGAUGAGCCUAGGUCGGAUUAGCUAGUUGGUGAGGUAAUGGCUCACCAAGGCGACGAUCCGUAACUGGUCUGAGAGGAUGUGCAGUCACACUGGAGCUAAGACACGGUCCAGACUCCUACGGGAGGCAGCAGUGGGGAAUAUUGGACAAUGGGCGAAAGCCUGAUUCAGCCAUGCCGCGUGUGUGAAGAAGGUCUUCGGAUUGUAAAGCACUUUAAGUUGGGAGGAAGGGUAGUAACCUAAUACGUUGCUACUUUGACGUUACCGACAGAAUAAGCACCGGCUAACUUCGUGCCAGCAGCCGCCGUAACAC